UGUGGGAGCUGGCUUGCCUGCGAUAGCUAUGUUGGAUUCACCAUUGCUAUCGCAGGCAAGCCAGCUCCCACA
rnacentral:misc_RNA from 1 species